rnacentral:lncRNA from 10 species
UUCUACUUGGGUUGCCUUAUUUUUCUUCUUGGCCUAGUAUAUAUUUAUGUAUUUAUUGCUGGGCUUUACCUACUAAAACAUAAGCUCCAUGAGGGUAGGGAUUUUGGAUGUCUUUGUUCCCUGCUGUAUGCCUGGGCCAUGGAAUAGUGCCUGGUACCUAAUGGAUGUUCAGUGAUAUUGGCUAAAUACAUGCAAACAUGAAAAUUAGGUCUUGAAUAUCCUGGAUCAAUGAUCUACUGUGUUAAUCUUCCCCUCUAUCUCAGGACUUUAUUCCUCUAAAGCAGCACCUGAGAAAAACCGCUUGUCUCUGCCCAGCCACCUCCAUUUAUGUUUGAGUGAAGCUCAUGAUGUCUGCAUCUCCUGGCAUAGAAGAGGAGCUACUCUCUGGUGUUGCUCCCUAGACCCAGCCUAUUUAAGAGCCAUGCUGUCUUUCCACAUGGCUGGGAUAGAAUGAGGCACGGGAAGUUACAGCGACAAGGAUGAAUUUCCAAGGAUGAAUAAUUCUCACAGGAAAAGAGCACCGUGGUCUUGGGUAGAGAGUGGGGAAAGUUGGGAGAAGGAUUUAAGGAAUGGUCAGUGCUUUACAGUUAUUUCAAGUUUUUCCUUUUAUUAUCAAGAAAGAAUAAAUAGAUUUAUAAAUACAUAUAUAGAUAGUAGAGCAGGAUAAAAACAUUCCAUUUCUUAAAAGAGUUACUAAUAAUUUUUUUGGAGAGAGAACUGCCUUUGGGAAUGUCUGCUUGGGGCAGGUGAGACUUCGUAGACAGGGACAGAUGACAAGGAUUAAGGAAGAGAGUUCACUGCUUUGAGGGAAGAACUGGGUGAAGAGGAGAGAGAAGGAAAACUCAGUGAGAUGGCUGGACUAGGAGAGUGAGGGCCAGGAAGGCCCCAUGGAGGUUGUAGCCACCAGCCCUCAAGAUGGCCCCGUUUCCUGGUAUUCACACCGAGUAUUCACACAACAUAACUCUCUUCCACGUUGUACCAGGGCUAGUUUGUGUGGCCAAUUAGAAUAUGACAGGAAUGGCUGUAUGUCACUUUCAAGAUUAGGUUAUAAAAGAGUAUGGCUUCUUCUUGGGAUCUCUCUCUCUUUCUGUGAGCAACUAUGGAGAAGCUCAUGUGUCAAGGAGAUGAAGACUCUGGACAACAGCCAAUAAGGAGCUGAGUUCUGUCAGCAAUUACCUGAGUGAUCUUGCAAGGAACUCCACUGGCGCUGGGUGAGUCUCGAGGUGACUGCAGCCCCAUGAAAGCCCCUGAGCCAAAACAACCUAGAGGAGCCACUCCUAGAUCCCUCAGGGUUUUGUCUCUUGCCUGGAGUGAACAGCCUUGCAGCUUGUUCCCUGCCCUCCUGCCCCAGAAACAAGCACCCCCUCCGUCUGAACGUUUUUCUGAGCACUUUACCAUUAGUGAUAGUGAGACACAUUCUAGAAAGUUCCUGUUUCACAGGGAUGGCAUGCAGAAAGCCAGCACUUGAGAAGAACAUGCAACUUAGCAAGGCUUGCUCAUCUUUCCCCAUGAUGACGGAGCCCCUGAGGGGCUGAGUGGUGAGAAGAGAAGCGGGGCCUGAGCGCUGCAUGGGAGCCUCACACAGGGAGAGGGAGAGGGUCCUCUGGAGUGCUGUGGCUUUGCCCUUCUCUCUUUUCCUUCUUGUCCCAUGGCACUGUCAGGAUCCUUCUGGGCUCCCAUUAGCUCAAGGAUUGAAUGAGGCAGGCGCUGGUGGACGGGAAGACUCCAAGGAGUGAACAUUGUGAGGAUAAGAUGAGAAGAUGAAGGAAGCCCACAGGGACAGGACGGGAUUUCCCAAGAAACAAGUCUGUACCUGCCUUGUUUAUGUUUUAUACACAAAGGAUGCUCAGAUACAAAGAAUAUCCUUGUUUUAGCCUGUCUGUCCACAUGGCAAAUCAUUACGCACCAACUCGUCACUCUCCGACGCUGCAGUAAACUGCCUGCACUUGCCACCUCUUCGUCUGCGGCCCGGCUCAUAAGCCUUCUUCUUGAUCACUUGGUUUCUUGCCUACUGUCGGGUGGAAGGAGGCCACAGACCCUGGAAUCAGGAGAACUUGCUGUAGUUGUCAGCUCUCCUGCUUAAGGAAGGCACUUUACCUCCCAGGGCCUCCGUUUCCACUUUUGUAAAACUAGGAUAAUGCUGUUGCCUAGUUGUGUUGAAAAUGAAAGGGGGUGACAUGUAUAAAAUAAAUACUGGAGAGUGGAAAUUCUUGCCCCUUGUGAAA